GUUUGUUUGCUUUAACAGACACUACACCUUGAACUUCAAUGUUUCUGCCAUAAUAAUUACUAUUAGACUUUAAAUUAAUGGAACAGUGUUUCUUAACAUUCCUGCGCUACUGUAAACAUUCACUGGUUACCAAAUCAAAGGAGGUGUGUAAAACAAUGGAACUUGUUUGGCGAAAUGAUUUUACCAAAUUAAACGGGAAGAUUAAGAAAUACAACUUUAAAAUCUGACCGGUUCAUACCAUCAAAUGAAAAGCUAAAUUUCUUUGGACAUCUACUUCAAAACUGGUGAUUUGACAAACAUUAAAAUAUUAUCAAUAUAUUUAAAUGUUUUAAUACAAUCAUUUCAGAAAUAGAUUAGAAAUUGACACUUCUAGAAAUUUGUUACAUCCACCUGUCUGUCAAUGAGGCAGCUGGUCCUAUUACUGCCAGGAUGUUUGGUAGAGAGACAGCAAUUGCCCAGAGUCUUGCAAAGACUUCUGAUUUAGCUGUAUUGGUAAGUAUGUGAUUGGACGGAUACAGAAAGUCUGGGCGGGUUAGAAGGGGAUGACUUGCAAAGGCUGCAGACAAGAGAACUGCAAGCUGUUUUUAUAUAUGGCCAAAUGAAAAUAAAAGCGUGGUUUGUGAUAGUUUGGCAGUGGAGUGUACCCUUUAAAAUCUGUUUAAGGAACAACAAUAAUUAGAUCCUGAUUCUGUGUGAUCUAUUUAACAGCAGAUCAGCUAAUUUCUAGCAUUCGCCAAUUUUCUCUUCCAUGUACUGUUAAAUCCGCUCAGCUACCAGGUUCUCAUUUUGUGCUGGCAUCACAUGCUCUCACGCAGACUUUAAAAAAUAUAUAUAUUUUUUUUUUAUUAACAUUUACCGAUGGGUUUAAGAAUUAUGAGAGAAUUCAAAAAUGUCCACCUCCUCAAAAACUGUCAGAUCUAAGAGCAGGAAUGACAGAUACGUGUUCCAUAGCUUACUUAGAUAAACUAUAGUAAUCUGUUUUGAGUACUGCUUUAACCCCUUGAGGACACAUGACAUGUGUGACAUGUCAUAAUUCCCUUUUAUUCCAGAAGUUUGGUCCUUAAGGGGUUAAAGGUCUAGGCACGCCGUGUAGCGAUUAUGGAGUUAAGCCCAGUUUCUUGGGCAAACUGUUUAAAGGAACACUAUAGUCACCUAAAUUACUUUAGCCAAAUAAAGCAGUUUUAGUGUAUAGAUCAUUCCCCUGCAAUUUCACUGCUCAAUUCACUGUCAUUUAGGAGUUAAAUCCCUUUGUUUCUGUUUAUGCAGCCCUAGCCACACCUCCCCUGGCUAUGAUUGACAGAACCUGCAUGGAAAAAAAAAAACUGGUUUCACUUUCAAACAGAUGUAAUUUACCUUAGAUCAUUGUAUCUCAAUCUCUAAAUUGAACUUUAAUCACAUACAUGAGGCUCUUGCAGGGUCUAGCAAGCUAUUAACAUAGCAGAGGAUAAGAAAAUC